UAGACCAACAAAAAAGGAAACAAACUACAACAACAAAAAGUAAAAAUAUCUGGAAAGUAGCUCAAGUGUUCUUGCUUCUUCUCAGAUUCUUGGUGUGAAAAUUCAUGGAACACAGUUGCUUCCAACUAUAGAGCUUAAAGUGAAUUGAAGAUAAAACCAACUUUAAGCUUUUUAUAGCUUUUGCAGCAUCAUGACUUCAAUAAUCUAGGUGAUAAAUCUCCUUCUAAUGCAAUGUUGUCAAGGACAUCUUCAGAACCUUGUUGGGAGAUUCCACUUUGAAUACUUGAAUUGCAUCAACUUGUAUCACCACAGGAACCUCCACUAUUGCCAGAUGAUUAUAUUCUUGGGAUUGUUACAUAUGAGGGCUAUUAUCUUCUAUCUCCAGGGAUAGAAUCCUUUCUUUCAUAAUGAUGGACUACUACUUAUUGCUGCUUUUGGGGAUUACGACAGAAAGAUUUAGACACAUAGUCAUAUCUAAUAUCCACUACGGUAGACCUUACUUCCCCAGUGACUUCAUCUUCAAUGUUCAUGAUAACAUAUUUAGGAAAACUUUUUUUUAAAUCCACCAACACCUUCACUUGAGCACAACUAGGUCUAGUCCUUUUGAUCGUAGAUUGAUCAAGAUGGAUAGGUGUACCUACU